CAGGGAGACAAACCUGAUUGUGAUGUCUGAGUGUUUUUAAUCUCAGGCCAUGAUCCUGUCAUCUCUAGGUCGAUCGGUACCUCAGGGUUGAUCCACAGAAUACUUGAGUGAUCAAGGAUUGCUGUGGGAUCAACUUUCAGUUUCUAAACGUUGUCUAGGUCACCCCAAGCGGGCUGACGUCCUAGGCCAUUAACUCAGGUGGUUAGAGCGCACCCCUGAUAAGGGUGAGGUCCCUGGUUCAAGUCCCGGAUGGCCCAUUCUUGUGCGAUGCAAGCGAGAGUUUAUGUUGUCACGUCGAGAUUAUUGGGGGUUUAGCUCAGUUGAUAGAGCGCCUGCUUUGCAAGCAUGAUGUCAGCGGUUCGAGUCCGCUAACCUCCACUGACCACCCCUGACUAGGAAGCAGAACGCGAGGUGAACUAGAUUGGUUGACGCUGAGAGAUUUCAGCCUCAGCUCAUUCCUAAGGAUGAUGCAAGCAUCUGUGGCGAGAUCCAUGGAUUGCUGAUUCAAUCCGAUUGGUUGAGCUGAUGCUGGAUUCAGCGAGCUAGCCGCGAGAGCGGCUUGUUUGCAUGAGAUUCAGCAGAACCUUGACAACUACAUAGGUGAGUCUGGAAAGACAAAGCAUCUCAUAGAUGAGAUCUGAACUGGUUUGAGCAUGCUCAAGCUGGAGAGGAUCGAGAUUCUAUUUUUUGAGAGCCGAGACCUUCUAGCGUUCUUACGGAGGCGCCGAGCCGAAGUGAGUUUGAUCCUUGUUUCAAACUGAAGCAGUAAUGCUUUAAGUGAAACUUGAGAGAAUAGGCCUCAACGGCCUGAAGCGUUAGGAGGAUUAAUU
rnacentral:tRNA from 1 species